rnacentral:rRNA from 1 species
GAUGAACGCUAGCGGCAGGCCUAAUACAUGCAAGUCGAACGGUGUCUUCGGACAUAGUGGCGCACGGGUGCGUAACACGUAUGCAACCUACCUUACAUUGGGGGAUAGCCUUUCGAAAGGGAGAUUAAUACCGCAUAAGACAGUAGCUGGGCAUCCAGCAGCUGUUAAAGAUUUAUCGAUGUAAGCUGGGCAUGCGUCCAAUUAGCUAGUUGGUGAGGUAACGGCUCACCAAGGCAAUGAUUGGUAGGGGAACUGAGAGGUCAAUCCCCCACACUGGCACUGAGAUACGGGCCAGACUCCUACGUGAGGCAGCAGUAGGGAAUAUUGGGCAAUGGACGCAAGUCUGACCCAGCCAUGUCGCGUGCAGGAUGAAGGCGUUAUGCGUUGUAAACUGCUUUUAUACAGGAAGAAACGACUCUUGCGAGAGGCAUUGACGGUACUGUAUGAAUAAGCACCAGCUAACUCCGUGCCAGCAGCCGCCGUAAUAC